UACGGAGGGUCAAGCGUUAUCCGGAUUCACUGGGUUUAAAGGGUGCGUAGGUGGGAAUGUAAGUCAGUGGUGAAAUCUCCGUGCUUAACAUGGAAACUGCCAUUGAUACUAUGUUUCUUGAAUUUUCUGGAGGUAAGCGGAAUAUGUCAUGUAGCGGUGAAAUGCUUAGAUAUCGUCAAGAACACCGAUAGCGAAAGGCAGCUUACUAGACUGUAACU
rnacentral:rRNA from 1 species